CAGGGAGACAAAACCCGAUGUGGAUGCCUAGGUUAAACAAUCCGAGGCCCAUGUCCUGUCACCUUAGGUCGAUCGGUACCUCAAGAAGCCGCCGGAAGCCCGUGAGCAAUCAGGGGAAAGGAGGUCGAGCUUUUUCAGUUUCUAAACGUUGUCUAGGUCACCCCACAGCCUCUGGGCCAUUAGCUCAGGUGGUUAGAGCGCACCCCUGAUAAGGGUGAGGUCCCUGGUUCAAGUCCAGGAUGGCCCAUUCGUGAUUGGGGGUUUAGCUCAGUUGGUAGAGCGCCUGCUUUGCAAGCAGGAUGUCAGCGGUUCGAGUCCGCUAACCUCCAUGGAAGAAGUGGUGGGCUACCAANGCUGACCGCGAUCCGAGAGUUAGCGAGACGGAGAGCGACGGGGUGAUGGGGCCGCAAGAACCAAAGGUCCAAGGACCAAAGGUCUAGAGGCCAAAGGACAGGGUGAGAGGAGAUUACCAGGAAGGGAGAAGAUUCCAGCCUUGAGGAUCAGAGCCGCGAGGUGUGCUGAUGCUGAAUGCUGGAUUCACAAGGCCUUGGAUGUUACACCGUUGAGGUGUUGCAUCUGGAGGUGUUGCCGGAUCCCAGCGGAACCUUGACAACUGCAUAGGUAAGUCUGGAAACAAGCAUCUCAUGGAUGCCAGAUCCAGUGCCAGCCCAGGUUGGCUGUUGCAGCACCACCCGGCAAGCGAUUGCCGGGUGGUGRUGUGAUGGCGGAACUGGGGUUGGCAGUGGAUGUGGAAAUUCUAUUGAGUUUAGAGCCAACCCAUUGGCGCUUGAGCCGACGAAUCAACGCGGAGAGCUGGAGUUGAUGGGUCUUGGCACUGAGAGUGAUCUCAGUACUGAGGGUCAACAAGGAUGGUUUGAUGGGUGGAUUUUAGGAUCARGUGAGGAUGGGAUU
rnacentral:tRNA from 1 species